rnacentral:lncRNA from 1 species
GGUCGAAUUGAAGUAGCUUUCUUGCCCCUCUAAUCAGUCCUUUAAAAAAAGAACAGAAAAUCGUGUGGUUUUGGCCUUGCUUUGAGCUGAGCUUGGACCGUACGGAAAUGGGCGGUCCGGCCAGUGACGAGUGACGACUGAAGACCGGUCGAAGGAUGCCAAGAUUCGGACGUUUAUGUCGUUGUCUGCGGAUCGAUCAGGGCUCUUUGCGUCUGCUUUUUUGUUUUCCUCUCGAGGGAAAAGUUGGUCGGUAACCUAUACUAUGAUAUCCGUGGAUUAAACAACAAAGUGGGGUUUGGAUAACGCGUUUAUUGUUCCAAAUUCUUGACCAGUGAUCCAUCGAUCGAGCAUAUAUACUGUUUUGUAGAGGAGUGAUAAUGCUGCCUUUUUAUCCAUUUGGUCAUCAUGGGUGGCUAGAUCUGUGAGUAACCUCGUCGUCAUUAACGUGGGCAGCAUUCUGUUCCAGCGGUGGAGUAAUGUUUUUUUUUUUUAGCUUCGGCUCCAUAAGUAACUCUAUUACCGGAGCUGGAACUGUUUUGGAAUGGUAAAACAACUUCUCAUAGUAGAUAGAAGGGGAGGGAGCUAGCAAAAGUUAGUAUUUUCAACGGUAGUCACUUUGCUCUAUUCGUCAGUCACUUCAUGUGAAAGUGAGUUUUAAAGAGCUUCACCUGAGAAGCUAUUAUAUUUUAACCUAUUUAGCAUAACCAAAAAAAAAUGCGACUCCUAAAGCACCUAGAGAAAUUGUACUAAAUGGGCCUAGAUAGAGUGCCUCCCAUGAUUGCGCAG